GAAGAUGCUCAGGCAUUCGUGAAAGAAGGUGAAAAUUAUGAGAGAGAGGUGCAGUUUCUCAAAUUCGGGAAAGUGAAGAGAGCUGAGCCCCUUAUGGAUGACAAGCUGAUGGAAUUUGUGCGCCAGAAACGCCUGGCUGCAGCUGUUGAAGUCUAGGACUGAAGAUGCUGGUGGCAGUCUGGACCUGUCUCCCUCCAGUGGCAUGAGGAGAUGAUCAUCCCUGGAUGACCCCACCUGUUCCCCUGUGAGCCCUGGGCCAUUUCCCUCUAACGAUCAAUAAACCCCUUCAGCAAUGCUA